rnacentral:rRNA from 1 species
UACGGGGGGAGCAAGCGUUGUUCGGAUUUACUGGGCGUAAAGGGCGCGUAGGCGGCCAGUGCAAGUCAGUUGUGAAAUCUCCGAGCUUAACUCGGAAAGGUCAACUGAUACUGCUCGGCUAGAGUGCGGAAGGGGCAACUGGAAUUCUUGGUGUAGCGGUGAAAUGCGCAGAUAUCAGGAGGAACACCGGUGGCGAAGGCGGGUCUCUGGGCCGUAACUGACGCUGAGGAGCGAAAGCGUGGGGAGCGAACAGG